CAGCUUGUUGGUGAGGUAAUGGCUCACCAAGGCGUCGACGGGUAGCCGGCCUGAGAGGGUGACCGGCCACACUGGGACUGAGACACGGCCCAGACUCCUACGGGAGGCAGCAGUGGGGAAUAUUGCACAAUGGGCGGAAGCCUGAUGCAGCAACGCCGCGUGAGGGAUGACGGCCUUCGGGUUGUAAACCUCUUUUAGCAAGGAAGAAGCGAAAGUGACGGUACUUGCAGAAAAAGCGCCGGCUAACUACGUGCCAGCAGCCGCGGUAAUACGUAGGGCGCAAGCGUUAUCCGGAAUUAUUGGGCGUAAAGAGCUCGUAGGCGGUUUGUCGCGUCUGCUGUGAAAUCCGGAGGCUCAACCUCCGGCCUGCAGUGGGUACGGGCAGACUAGAGUGCGGUAGGGGAGAUUGGAAUUCCUGGUGUAGCGGUGGAAUGCGCAGAUAUCAGGAGGAACACCGAUGGCGAAGGCAGAUCUCUGGGCCGUAACUGACGCUGAGGAGCGAAAGGGUGGGGAGCAAACAGGCUUAGAUACCCUGGUAGUCCACCCCGU
rnacentral:rRNA from 1 species